rnacentral:rRNA from 1 species
AGAGUUUGAUCCUGGCUCAGAUUGAACGCUGAUGCCUUACACUGCAAGUCGAACGGUAACAGGUCUUCGGAUGCUGACGAGUGGCGAACGGGUGAGUAAUACAUCGGAACGUGCCCGAUCGUGGGGGAUAACGAAGCGAAAGCUUUGCUAAUACCGCAUACGAUCUACGGAUGAAAGCAGGGGACCAAGGCCUUGCGCGAACGGAGCGGCCGAUGGCAGAUUAGGUAGUUGGUGGGAUAAAAGCUUACCAAGCCGACGAUCUGUAGCUGGUCUGAGAGGACGGCCAGCCACACUGGGACUGCUUACCAAGCCGACGAUCUGUAGCUGGUCUGAGAGGACGGCCAGCCACACUGGGACUGCUUACCAAGCCGACGAUCUGUAGCUGGUCUGAGAGGACGGCCAGCCACACUGGGACUGAACACGGCCCAGACUCCUACGGGAGGCAGCAGUGGGGAAUUUUGGACAAUGGGCGAAAGCCUGAUCCAGCCAUGCCGCGUGCAGGAUGAAGGCCUUCGGGUUGUAAACUGCUUUUGUACGGAACGAAAAGACUCUGGUUAAUACCUGGGGUCCAUGACGGUACCGUAAGAAUAAGCACCGGCUAACUACGUGCCAGCAGCCGCGGUAAUACGUAGGGUGCAAGCGUUAAUCGGAAUUACUGGGCGUAAAGCGUGCGCAGGCGGUUAUAUAAGACAGAUGUGAAAUCCCCGGGCUCAACCUGGGAACUGCAUUUGUGACUGUAUAGCUAGAGUACGGCAGAGGGGGAUGGAAUUCCGCGUGUAGCAGUGAAAUGCGUAGAUAUGCGGAGGAACACCGAUGGCGAAAGGCAAUCCCCUGGGCCUGUACUGACGCUCAUGCACGAAAGCGUGGGGAGCAAACAGGAUUAGAUACCCUGCUAGUCCACGCCCUAAACGAUGUCAACUGGUUGUUGGGUCUUCACUGACUCAGUAACGAAGCUAACGCGUGAAGUUGACCGCCUGGGGAGUACGGCCGCAAGGUGAAACUCAAAGGAAUUGACGGGGACCCGCACAAGCGUGAUGAUGUGUUUAUCGAUGCACGCGAA